GACGAACGCUGGCGGCGUGCUUAACACAUGCAAGUCGAACGGGAAGGCCCUGCUUUUGUGGGGUGCUCGAGUGGCGAACGGGUGAGUAACACGUGAGUAACCUGCCCUUGACUUUGGGAUAUCUUCAGGAAACUGGGGCUAAUACCGGAUAGGAGCUCCUGCUGCAUGGUGGGGGUUGGAAAGUUUCGGCGGUUGGGGAUGGACUCGCGGCUUAUCAGCUUGUUGGUGGGGUAGUGGCUUACCAAGGCUUUGACGGGUAGCCGGCCUGAGAGGGUGACCGGCCACAUUGGGACUGAGAUACGGCCCAGACUCCUACGGGAGGCAGCAGUGGGGAAUAUUGCACAAUGGGCGGAAGCCUGAUGCAGCAACGCCGCGUGCGGGAUGACGGCCUUCGGGUUGUAAACCGCUUUCGCCUGUGACGAAGCGUGAGUGACGGUAAUGGGUAAAGAAGCACCGGCUAACUACGUG
rnacentral:rRNA from 1 species